rnacentral:rRNA from 1 species
GACGAACGCUGGCGGCGUGCUUAAUACAUGCAAGUCGAACGGAAAGGCCCUGCUCUUGCGGGGUGCUCGAGUGGCGAACGGGUGAGAAACACGUGAGUAACCCGCCCUUGACUUUGGGAUAACUUCAGGAAACUCGGGCUAAUAUCGGAUAGGAGCUCCUGCUGCACGGUGGGGGUUGGAAAGAUUCGGCGGUUGGGGAUGGACUCGCGGGUUAUCAGCUUGUUUGUGGAGUAGUUGCUUACCAAGGGUUUGACGGGUAGGCGGCCUGGGAGCGUGGACGGCGACAUUAGGACUAAGAGAGGGACCAGAAGCCAACGGGAGGCAGCAGUGGAAAGUAUUACACAGUGGGCGGGAGCCAGAUACGACAGCGCCGCGUGCGGGAUGACCGCCUUCGAGUUAAAAACCGAUUUCGAAUGAAACAAGGCGGGAGUGACGGUAAUGGGUAAAAAAGCACCGGCUAACUACGUG